GACGAACGCUGGCGGCGUGCUUAACACAUGCAAGUCGAACGGAAAGGCCCCCUUUUGGGGUACUCGAGUGGCGAACGGGGGGGUAACACGUGAGUAACCUACCCUUGACUUUGGGAUAACUUCAGGAAACUGGGGCUAAUACCGGAUAGGAGCUCCUGCUGCAUGGUGGGGGUUGGAAAGUUUCGGCGGUUGGGGAUGGGCUCGCGGCUUAUCAGCUUGUUGGUGGGGUAGUGGCUCACCAAGGCUUUGACGGGUAGCCGGCCUGCGAGGGUGACCGGCCACAUUGGGACUGAGAUACGGCCCAGACUCCUCCGGGAGGCAGCAGUGGGGAAUAUUGCACAAUGGGCGGAAGCCUGAUGCAGCAACGCCGCGUGCGGGAUGACGGCCUUCGGGUUGUAAACCGCUUUCGCCUGUGACGAAGCGUGAGUGACGGUAAUGGGUAAAGAAGCACCGGCUAACUACGUG
rnacentral:rRNA from 1 species